AUUCAUCGAAUCGACAAAAAUCGAUGGGCACCCCUAAAACUCGAAUGUCAAAUUUUAGUGUUUAUUUUGUUUCGGUUUCACUUUAUUUCGCGACUACGAAGCAAAAAGAGAUUCUACAAAGCACUCGCACCAACGUAAACCUCAAAACCGAAUAAAACAUCAGCAGCUUCGUAGUCGCGAUUUGUGACGCGGAAAGACAACAAUCCCCUUCUGAGCUGAGCCUUCGGAACGGCCGAGGAUGUGGUCCACCGUGCCAGCAUCUCCGCCCCGCUGGUGCACAAGUUUGACCGCCCGCUCUAGCUGGUCGACCAAACCCUGGCCAAGGCCAUUAACCGCCUCGACGUGAGCGCACCGAUCAUCAAGGAACAACCGUAGGAGACCUACAACCAUUCAAAGUCCAAGGUCCUCGGCAUGGUCAAACGCUACAUCGAGAAGGUGUGCGAACUGCGACAAGCCUCCCAGCAGAAGGCCGCCGCCAUGAAAGAACUCUUCUGGAAGAAAUUCAACAAAGUACUGGCCUCCCCAGGGGGUGGGAAACUCGGCUCACUGUGCCCGGCACAGUAUUCGGCACAACUCGGCACAUCUGGGCACCCUUCUAAUCGACAGUGAAUUGGAUUUGACAGCUGAAUCUUUGUUUUUGCUUACUACAGAAAAUGGUCGUGCGGUUCAACCAGAUUGUUGCUAUCACGAAUUUGUUUAGCAAAAAAAUCACAUCCACGAUGAGAUCCGAAACAUUAUCGUCCAUCCAAUCAUCUUGCCGGAUUUGUUUGUGACCCACUUCUGAAAAGGAACAGGUUUCAAAAUCUCUGCCAAGGAAUGCUGAGUGUAGACCUGGAAAAUAUAAUGAAAUGGUACUUGCAUGGAAUCCAGUACUGGGCCGAUACAAGACUCCCCCUUGGAUGAGAUGCCGGCCGAGGUAAGACAGCUGAAUAAGAAGAGGAAGAAGCUGUGGAGGAGUCUAAUGAUGGAGAACGUGCUUAAAUGGAUAUAAUUAAUUUAAAGUCGUGGGUAUAUGUAUAGCCAUAGCGGUUCAAAUAUAUUUUUCAAGUUUCAAAAGACAGGGUGUAUCACAUACCAUUCUGAUACAACUAGUCUUUGGCAUACAUAUCGAUAAUACGAGUCUGCAUUAACCUGCUUCAGGUCCCGCGCCGUGUACUGAAGCUUCCACUGAGAAGCAUCAACAACGGCUUUUCAUGGGCCCGUCACAUCAUCGAAAUGAUUAAAUCAGUAAUAACAAAAACCAGUAAUUAAUUUUAUUCCCUCUA